rnacentral:rRNA from 1 species
CAUUAUUGAAAUAAACCUGAUGAGUUGCUGCUGGUUCUCUAGGGAGCAUGUGCACACUUGUCAUCUUUAUAUCUCCACCUGUGCACCUUUUGUAGACCUGGAUAUCCCUCUGAAUGCUAGUCACUCAGGUUUGAGGAUUGACUUUAUGUCUCUCCUUGCAUUUCCAGGCCUAUGUUUCUUUAUAUACCCAAUGUAUGUCAUAGAAUGUAAUCAAUGGGCCUUUGUGCCUAUAAACCUAUACAACUUUCAGCAACGGAUCUCUUGGCUCUCGCAUCGAUGAAGAACGCAGCGAAAUGCGAUAAGUAAUGUGAAUUGCAGAAUUCAGUGAAUCAUCGAAUCUUUGAACGCACCUUGCGCUCCUUGGUAUUCCGAGGAGCAUGCCUGUUUGAGUGUCAUUAAUAUAUCAACCUCUUCAACUUUUGUUUGUCGGGUGUUGGAUUUGGGGGUCUUUUUUGCUGGUCUUGUAUCCUACAGGUCAGCUCCCCUGAAAUACAUUAGCAGAACAAUUUGUGAACCGUUCAUUGGUGUGAUAACUAUCUACGCUAUUGACGUGAAACAGGUUCAGCUUCUAACAGUCCAUUGACUUGGACAACUUUUCAUUAAUGUGACCUCAAAU